rnacentral:tRNA from 1 species
GGGGCUGUAGCUUAGUGGUAGAGCACUUGCCUGGCAUGUGUGAGGCACUGAGUUCUAUCCUCAGCACCACA